UACGGAGGGAGCUAGCGUUGUUCGGAAUUACUGGGCGUAAAGCGCGCGUAGGCGGCUUUGUAAGUUAGAGGUGAAAGCCCGGGGCUCAACCCCGGAACUGCCUUUAAGACUGCAUCGCUUGAAUCCAGGAGAGGUGAGUGGAAUUCCGAGUGUAGAGGUGAAAUUCGUAGAUAUUCGGAAGAACACCAGUGGCGAAGGCGGCUCACUGGACUGGUAUUGACGCUGAUGUGCGAAAGCGUGGGGAGCGAACAGG
rnacentral:rRNA from 1 species